rnacentral:rRNA from 1 species
AAACUAACAAGGAUUCCCCUAGUAACGGCGAGUGAAGCGGGAAGAGCUCAAAUUUGAAAUCUGGCAGUCUUCGAUUGUCCGAGUUGUAAUCUAUAGAGGCGUUUUCCGUGCCGGACCGUGUCCAAGUCUCCUGGAAAGGAGUAUCAAAGAGGGUGAUAAUCCCGUACUUAACACGACCACCGGUGCUCUGUGAUACGUCUUCUACGAGUCGAGUUGUUUGGGAAUGCAGCUCAAAAUGGGUGGUGAAUUCCAUCUAAAGCUAAAUAUUGGCGAGAGACCGAUAGCGAACAAGUACCGUGAGGGAAAGAUGAAAAGCACUUUGGAAAGAGAGUUAAACAGUACGUGAAAUUGUUGAAAGGGAAACGAUUGAAGUCAGUCGUGUUCUUUGGAUUCAGCCAGUUCUGCUGGUCUACUUCCUUGGAACGGGUCAACAUCAGUUUUGUCCGGUGGAUAAAGGUAGUAGGAAUGUGACUUCUCCGGAAGUGUUAUAGCCUAUUAUCACAUACACUGGGUGAGACUGAGGACUGCAGCUCGCCUUUAUGGCCGGCCUUCGGGCACGUUCGAGCUUAGGAUGUUGACAUAAUGGCUUUAAACGACCC